UGUAUCUGAAGCCUGACGAGGAUGAGAACCUCCGGGGGCAAGAGGUUCGACCCGAGCGAAGCGAGAGAACGUUGCGUCAGCAACGGCCCGCAGG
rnacentral:sRNA from 2 species